UUAAGAGCAUUCGGUGGAUGCCUUGGCGCUGAGAGGCGAUGAAGGACGUGAUACGCUGCGAUAAGCCGUGGGGAGCUGCGAAUGAGCUUUGAUCCGCGGAUUUCCGAAUGGGGAAACCCACCUUCG
rnacentral:rRNA from 15 species